rnacentral:rRNA from 1 species
GACAGAGGAUGCAAGCGUUAUCCGGAAUGAUUGGGCGUAAAGCGUCUGUAGGUGGCUUUUUAAGUCCGCCGUCAAAUCCCAGGGCUCAACCCUGGACAGGCGGUGGAAACUACCAAGCUGGAGUACGGUAGGGGCAGAGGGAAUUUCCGGUGGAGCGGUGAAUGCGUAGAUAUCGGGAGGAACAUCAGUGGCGAAGGCGACCACCUGGCCCAACACUGACGCUGAGGUGCGAAAGCGUGGGUAGCAAACAGG